rnacentral:rRNA from 1 species
UUCAGCUCGUGUCGUGAGAUGUCCGUUGUAAAUCCAUCGGCGCCAGGGGCUUUCUUGGGAUUAAAGGAUCGGGUAGCUGUUUGCAGCUCGGCCAAGGUGAAAGGGGGAUCCCAUACGUCACCAUGGGUUGCUACA